rnacentral:misc_RNA from 1 species
GAAAUGCGAUAAGUAAUGUGAAUUGCAGAAUUCAGUGAAUCAUCGAAUCUUUGAACGCACAUUGCGCCCGCCAGUAUUCUGGCGGGCAUGCCUGUUCGAGCGUCAUUUCAACCCUCAAGCCCCAGCGGUUUGGUGUUGGGGACCGGCGAGUACAGAGGCUUUUGGGGACUUGUCCCCCUUCCCUCGGCGCCGCCCCCGAAAUGAAUUGGCGGUCUCGUCGCGGCCUCCUCUGCGUAGUAGCACAACCUCGCAUCAGGAGCGCGGCGCGGCCACUGCCGUAAAACGCCCAACUUUUUUUAAGAGUUGACCUCGAAUCAGGUAGGAAUACCCGCUGAACUUAA